rnacentral:rRNA from 1 species
CCCUUAGACGUUCUGGGCCGCACACGCGCUACACUGACGAAGGCAACGAGCUUUCCUUUACCGAAAGGUACGGGUAAUCUUUUGAAACUUCGUCGUGCUGGGGAUAGAUCCUUGCAAUUUUUGAUCUUAAACGAGGAAUUCCUAGUAAGCGCAAGUCAUCAACUUGCGUUGAUUACGUCCCUGCCCUUUGUACACACCGCCCGUCGCUACUACCGAUUGAAUGGUUUAGUGAGGCCUUCGGAUCCGCGACUCGUUUUGUGGAGAAGUUGGACAAACUCAGUCAUUUAGAGGAAGUAAAAGUCGUAACA